rnacentral:rRNA from 1 species
CCUACGGGAGGCAGCAGUGGGGAAUAUUGCACAAUGGGGGAAACCCUGAUGCAGCGACGCCGCGUGAGUGAAGAAGUAUUUCGGUACGUAAAGCUCUAUCAGCAGGGAAGAAAAUGACGGUACCUGACUAAUAAGCCCCGGCCAACUACGUGCCAGCAGCCGCGGUAAUACGUUGGGGGCAAGCGUUAUCCGGAUUUACUGGGUGUAAAGGGAGCGUAGACUGCAGCGCAAGUCUGGAGUGAAAUCCCAUGGCUUAACCAUGGAACUGCUUUGGAAACUGUGCAGCUAGAGUGCAGGAGAGGUAAGCGGAAUUCCUAGUGUAGCGGUGAAAUGCGUAGAUAUUAGGAGGAACACCAGUGGCGAAGGCAGCUUACUGGACUGUAACUGACGUUGAGGCUCGAAAGCGUGGGGAGCAAACAGGAUUAGAUACCCCUGUAGUC